rnacentral:rRNA from 1 species
AUGCAUCAGUUGGCGUGGGACAAACAAACUAGACCUAAAGGUAAGGGUGGCAUGGGAUUUCGUGAUCUCGGACUUUUUAAUCAAGCGCUUUUGGCCAAACAAGCGUGGCGGCUGGUGGUUUAUCCUGACUCGUUGUGUGCGAAGUUGAUGAAGGCAAAGUAUUGUCCUCAAGGACAUAUUCUGGAUACGGUGUUUCCGCAUGCUACUUCGGUGACUUGGCAAGGUAUUGCUCAUGGUCUGGAACUCCUAAAGAAGGGGAUCAUCUGGCGGGUCUGUGAUGGAUCGAGUAUUAAUAUUUGGAGAGAUAAUUGGAUACCUAGGAGACAUAGCCUAAAAAUUUCAGCUAGAAGGCAUAGUACCAGGUUGAAGUGGGUAUCUGAUUUAUUCAUGAGCGGACAUAAGUGUUGGGCCGAAAAUUUGGUUAAGUAUCUUUUCUACCCAUAUGAUGCGGAGGAAAUUAUUAAGACUCAUAUUCAGGCCUCUAGGGAUGGGGAUUGUAUUGCGUGGCACCAUGAGAAGAAUGGUAUAUUUUCUGUUAAAAGUGUGUAUAAUUUUGCGCUUAAAUUGAAGGAUAGUGAGGACACCUUUGGCCAAUCUAGUAGCGAACCAAAGGGGGAAAGGGGGAUUUGGGAUUUAAUCUGGAAGGCUAAUAUCCCUCAGACGAUCAGGAUUGUUGCGUGGCGAGUUGCAACUAAUAGCUUGGCGGUCCAGAUGAAUAGAGUUAAACAUCAUCAGACUGAUUCAGGUACAUGUUCUAUUUGUGGUGUAGAAGACGAAGACAUUUUUCAUGCUCUAGUGACUUGUUCUAAAGCGCGUGCUCUACGACUGACAUUGAGAGAGUUAUGCAAUAUUCCGGAUGAAGAUGUUUUCAAGUGGUCAGGACCAGAUUGGUUGUUGAUUUUGUUGGCUCAAUUGAGCGUGCAGCAGAGGGAGUAA